CAGCCGCCACGGUAAAACGUAGGUGGCAAGCGUUGUCCGGAAUUAUUGGGCGUAAAGGGCUCGCAGGCGGUUUCUUAAGUCUGAUGUGAAAGCCCCCGGCUCAACCGGGGAGGGUCAUUGGAAACUGGGAAACUUGAGUGCAGAAGAGGAGAGUGGAAUUCCACGUGUAGCGGUGAAAUGCGUAGAGAUGUGGAGGAACACCAGUGGCGAAGGCGACUCUCUGGUCUGUAACUGACGCUGAGGAGCGAAAGCGUGGGGAGCGAACAGGAUUAGAUACCCCCGUAGUCCCUGUCUCUUAUAC
rnacentral:rRNA from 1 species